UGCUGGGGUGGGCGAGGCCUGAGGGGCUCAGGCCUCCUCGUGGGACGCCACCGCGCGGCGCGCGUCCGCGUCCAGCAC
rnacentral:tRNA from 1 species